rnacentral:rRNA from 1 species
UACGUAGGGUGCAAGCGUUGUCCGGAAUUAUUGGGCGUAAAGAGCUUGUAGGCGGUUUGUCGCGUCUGCUGUGAAAUUUCGGGGCUCAACCCCGAACUUGCAGUGGGUACGGGCAGACUAGAGUGUGGUAGGGGAGACUGGAAUUCCUGGUGUAGCGGUGAAAUGCGCAGAUAUCAGGAGGAACACCGAUGGCGAAGGCAGGUCUCUGGGCUGACACUGACGCUCAUGCACGAAGCGUGGGAG